AAGUGACAAUAAAAACAGUACCACCAAAUGCAUGCCAAUGGAAUGAAAAAUUAAAUUCACCACCUACGUUAAGGAACGGUCUCCAAGAUCGUCAUCUUUAGAUUGACAACGAAAUUUUAAGAUAGUAUCGUUAUUUGGAAGCAUAUCGAGGAUGUGAACCGUAUAUCCAGCGGUAAGGGGGAGAGAAUUUGCAGUAUGAACGAGAAUAGUUAAUAUGACUACUAGUGAAAGUAUUAUGACUUUGGCCAUGGUGAAAUUUUUAUAUAUUUGUCUAGUGAAUUAGUAUAUGUUUUCUACUAGUUUUUUUUUUACUUAUAUAGUUGGUAUGUACCAUGGUUAGAUGAUUGAGAUGGAAAUGUUUAUUAAAUAUUUUUUGCUAAUUUAAAAUGUGGACUUUGAGAUAGCACUAUGAACAAUUUAGAUAGGGAUGCUUAUUAAAUAAUUAUUGCUAAUUUUAAAUGUGGGCUAUUUGAGAUAAUACUAUAAGAAAAUAGCUAGGAUGACCAUUAAAGGGGUGUCAAUGGUUGUAAUAAAAAAUAUAAUUAUGAGCCUUGUAGGACUUUAACACAUAAUCUCAAGAAAUUUUCCUAACGUCUUAACCAUUAGACUAUAUAUUUAAUUUGCGUCAAGAGGUGUCAAUACUUGUAUAUAUAUAUUUAUUAAACCAAAAUUUGACCUCCAUAUACAAUGUAAUUUUCUGACGAAGGGGUGUCGCUUGACAUUCCUCGGCUAAGGGUGAGUCUGCCCCUGGUCACUAGUAAUUGGGUUUAAAAAAUAUAUUUAGCAGUAAUUAAACUAUUACUAUUAAAUGUUAAUGAUUAAUUGCCGUUAAAUAUUAUCUUUAGUGUAGUGUAGAAAUGUUUACUUAAAUGAUUUUUGCUAAUUUACAAUGAAGACUUUGAAAUAGAGAUGUUCAUUAGCAAAUAAUUUUACCUAAUUUUAAAUGUGGACUUUCUUAAUUAAUAUCUAAUGCAAAUAUAUUAUGAAUUGAUGUUUUCCUCAUCUAUAUUACGUACACGUUUUGUAGGUGUUUAUUGUGUCAAUGAAUAUUAUUAUUUUUUUAUUUCUAAAAAAAUGUGCAUAAGUAAAAUAUUACUGAUUAAAAAUAAAUGAUUUUUUUUAAAAAAAAAUCCCUUUAGUAUGUGAAAUUUAUCAUAUUUGUUCCUUCAUUUAAUAGUAAAUGAAGGUUCGUGUUUAAGGUAUUAUGUGAUAAGAAUGUGUCAUCAACACUUAAAGAUAAGUUUUAUAAAGUGGUAGUUAAAUCUAUGUACAUUGUUUUAGUAGGUAAAGAGUUGACCAGUCAAGAACCCACACGUUCAGAAGACAAUGAUGCGAUCAAAUGGAUGUGGGUAUACUAGGAGAGAAAUGUCCUCCUACGAAUGAGAAAACGAGGUUGAGAUGAUUUAGACAUUUGAAGAAGAGAUGUGCAAAUGCACUAGUAAAAAUGUGUGAAUGGUUGAUUAUAGCAUAUUUAGGAGAUGUAGAAGUAGGUUAAAGAAGAACUAGGAUAAAAUGGGGCAAAGUUAAAAUAGACACAGACACACGAUAUGACAUAUUUUUAGCUUACUGAGUACAUGACGUUACAUUUGACACUAACACCUCACCUCAAGUUGAUUAAAACAUAUUGACGUGCGACUCAAGAUUGAUUGUUGAGCUCCAAGUUGAUUAGAGCAGGUGGACGUGCAACCCAAGAUUGAUUGUUUAACUCCGAUGUUGAAAAGAAAAAAGAAGAAAAAAAGAGAGUACCAGAACAUUUGAGUAGUGCGCUCUUUUACAACUAACUCCCUCCCCGGUAAAACCCAAACCCCGCCGGCCACCGCCUUCAGCCUUAUAAAAUCAACUUUUAUCUUUGAGAAGUGAUCAGCUCAAGAUUCUUGAUUUUCUGGACACCCUUUUACUGAUUACUUCCAAUGACAGAAACCAGAACCUGUGAGUUUGAUCAUAACAACAACCCAAAGAAGAACACCAGGAGUACUGAAGAACUCAAAGAUGGGUUUUCUGGGUUGCCCUAUUCUGAGGUUGAAGAUGGGUUAUCUAGGUUGCCAUGUUUUGGGGUUGAAGAUGAUAAAGGUGAAAUCUUGGAAGAUGAGUUUUCUGGGUUGCCCUGUUCUGGGGUUGAAGAUGGGUUAUGUGGGUUGCCCUGUUUUGGGGUUGAAGAUGAUAAAGGUGGAAUCUUGGAAGAUGGGUUUGCAGAAAAAGGGAAGAAGAAAAGGAGAAUUUGUGAAAUGGGUCGGUUGAAUGAUCCAUUAGUUGUUCUUGGGUCAGAUAUUAUGUUGAUGAUUUUGAGCUGUCUUGACGCACGCAGCGUGGCACUGUGUCUCCUUGUAUCUUGUGGGUGGAGGGGUAUUGCUUCUUCUGAUAAGAUUUGGAGCUCCAAGGUUUGAACUUUCAUUUAGUUGAGUCGUCAAAGUUUAGUUUUGGUAAAUUAGGGUUCAUUUCAUGUCAAAACUUUGUUACUACAAUAGUGUUUGCUUUGUUAUAUGGUUUUAUUGGCGAAAUUGUUCCUCAGUUGCAAAUUUGUUAUGCAUUACUACUUAUUUAUCAAAAUUGGUAUAUAGAACUUUUACUAUGUUAUAACACAUAAUGCAAUACUUAAGGGUGACAGUAAUGGAAAUAGUUAGUAUAAAAUUUCUUGGGCACUUACCUGCUGUGCUAUUACUCCUGUAGUUUUCAUGUACUCGAUUAUUGUAUUGUUUGUUUAGUUACUGUUCCUUUUUUUUCAAAAUGUUUUUUCAUGCUUUUUGUAAUAUUUUGCUAUAGUUUCUUCACCUCCGCUAUUUUUUUUAACCUGCUUUGAAAUGUUUUAUUGGAAACAACCUCUCUACCUCUUAAGAUAGGGGUAAGGUCUGCAUACACUCUACACCCCCAACCCCAAGUGGGAUUACACUGGGUAUGUUAUUGUUGUUGCUGUUGUUGGUUUAGGAGUAGCUAACUGCUAACAGUUACAUUAUUGUUGGGUCAAUUUUUGCUUGCAGGUCCUCUAUGAACAUUUCUAGUUGGUUUGUUGGGAAGAUGAUAAAUUGUUGAAGAUCAAUUGUCUCUUAUGUUUCUUGCUCUUAAUUGCUUUACCAGGUACUGGAACAUAUAUUCUUCAGGGAUUAUUCUUAAAUUGAAUCUUCCUUUCCUAUGAAGAACAUUGGAUCUUCUUCAAUUUUACCGUCUCCCCUUAGAGACUAUAAAUUAUGUAAAAAGCACAUUGUCUUUGUGUAUCUUCUUGCCCAUUUGAUCUGGAGUUUAGCCCUUUUAAGAAUACACAUUGCGCGCUCUUUGCUAAAAGCUAUGCUAUGUUAUCUUUAAAAAAUCAACCACCUCAAAAGGAAUUUUCAUCCUUUACACAUGCUUUAAAAAAGAGAAAUUAUCAGGUAAUAACUUAUAAAAGUGGAGGUAACCUUACUCAAAUAGAGAUGUGCUAGAAACUACAUUUCAGGACUGUGAGGUUAUUCCAGGAGUACCACUGACCACCCACCAUAGGCUUAGUAGUCUUAGAUGUAAAGCUUAAUGACAGAAUUGAAAGCAAAUGACUUGCAAACAAACUGCUAAUUAGGUAGUGGACUUAAAGAGUACUAACCAGUUAGCAUUUCAAGGGAAUCUAUGGAAGAAGGGAUCUUGGGACGUUGAGGAAAACUAUGUCAAUACACUCGACGACUCUAACCAAUUGAUUGUGGAAUACGGCCUUCUGAAAGCAUAGAAGACUAAUGUCUAUGAACCACAGUGUUGGGAGUUUGAACCCCUUCUCAUCAACAACCGGCCUAAGAGAAGUACCUUUUUUCUGAGAUUUGAAAAUUUGGGUCGAGGAAGGGAUUACCAAUGUGGAAAUCCCAGGUUUCAACCUCUACUAUAACACUUGAUGUGAGUCCAUCUACUUCAGCCUUGAUGGUAGGAUUACCUUGUCGUCCUAUAAGAUUAAUGGCUAUGAACCAUAGUGUGGAGUAUGGCCUUCUGAAAGCUUAGAAAAUUAACGGCUAUGAGCAACCAGGGUGUUGGGAGUUUGAAACCCUCCUCGCCAACAAUCAGCCUAAAAGGAAAGUAAGAUACUUUCUAGGGGUUGAAAAAGUAGGUUGAGGUCUGGGAUUAAAAACGUGGAAAUCCAAGGUUUCAAUCUUUAGUUAUAACAGCACUUGUGGGUCCAUCUACAUAAGUCAUAGUGGUAGGACUACCAUGGUGACUUAUACUUGUGAGUUGGACAGGCUGCACUAUGGAAUAGUCAAGGUGCAUGUGACCCGGACACCAUUAAUGAAGAAAAUAAAGAGAAAAAAAAUCGUAACUUGGGAUACAAUAUGCUAUACAAUUGUAAUACUUUUUCUUGGAGUCAUCAACAGUUCCAUAAAGGUGUGAGUUUUGCUCAGUAUUUGUUGUUCCCUUUGCUCACUAUUUGUUGUCUCCUUUCACUACAUGUUAAUAAUUCAGAGUUCAUCCUUUGUAAAAUGACAUCGUCUGCCAUCCUGCUCUAGCGAGUAAACAACAGUAAAAAGCUAAAUAUGAAUAGAUGAAGUCACGUGCACAUUUAUUUACAAGCAGAUCAAUGAUCUCUUUCUUGGCAUCUCUUUGUAGUGUGAAGAAUUAUGGCAAGGCAAAACACAUUUACCUCGGAUAGCAAAAGUCAAUGAUUUAUCGAAGUUGGCAGUUUACUCACUGUCCAUAAUGGAUGGUAAACGUGUGAGUAUUGGAACUCUCUCCUUAGCACUUGCACAUACAAAAUCUGUUACCCUUUUCUUUUGAUUUGUCUAACGUUACUUUUUCAUAUAUUAUAUGUCUUAGAAGCGAAUAAGAAAGGAGGAUUUAUAUGAUCACGUGUGGGAGUUCCAUUUCACCGAGGUAUGAGCUGAAGUGCCUAUUUCAUAUUUCUACUUUCCAAGUCUAACUUUGAUUUACUUACCAAUUUGAAGUCCAUGAAUAGGCAUUAUCCACCCAUAGAAAUCAUGCAUGGCUGCAGCGCGCACCAAAUUGAGUAGGUAGAGUUUGUACGUGCUUGAGAACACUUCAAAUCUGUCCGAUUGAAGUUAAAACGUCCGAAAUUUUUUGAGGGAUCGGUCACUUUGUGUAGCUUUGCAAGUGGUUGGUAAGAAUGCAUAAUAUCUUGCCUUAUUUCUUGUUCAUUAUGUUCAACCUUUUGUUCUUCCAAAAAUUUACUGGUUUUAUUGAUGUCACUGGUCAGUUUCAUAGAGCUUCUGCCAAAUUGAAAACGGUUUGCUUGGUUCUGUCUCCUGUAAGUGCUAUUUGAACCACCCUUGCUGCUGCCUUUGCUUGUUAUUUCUUCACAGUUUAAUGCCUCUUGAAUCAAUAAAUCUUUUAUUGGAAACGAGAGAAAGGAAGAGAAGGUCAUUGAAUUUUUUGGUUUGACAAGAGUGAAAAAAGGAAGUGAAGGAGAAAAUAUUUCCCUCUUUUCCUUUCCCUAGUUUCCGUCAUAGGAUAAAAUAGAUAAACAUAAUCGUUGUAUAACUGCAACCUAUAUUACUUCUGUCGACGACUCCUUAGGCGGCUCCUGAGUAUUGGCGAAUGCUCGAUCCCUACUGGAACGGAACAGGACGUCCCCUGCGCCGUUAUUUCCUUCCAGAUGGAAGUCAGACUGCAGAACCAGAUGACAAGAUAUGGGGUGGUCAUGAGUCUUGCUACUCCAUAGUAACUAGCGUGCUUGCAGAUGGGAAAAUAAGAGCACACUAUGUGAGGAUAAACCGUUGGCCGCCGAUGUAUGUGACAAGGAAGGAAGAUUGGAGCUGGGAGAUCUCUAACAACUUCUGUACCUACAGGAGCAUACCAGAUGCUGAUAAAAAAGAUGGGACUGGACCUUUGUUUCUACUUCACUAAGCCUCUGCUACUUAUGCAGUAGUAGUAUGUGCUUUGAAGCCAAACUAUGGAAAUGUUUGUUUUGUCUUUCGAUGGAGUUUGUGUUUGUUUGAAUAAUUGU
rnacentral:lncRNA from 1 species